CUCCACAUGCUCAGGAGGCAGUGGGAUCCCAAUGGAACGCAUAACUUUUUGAGGAAGGGGCUUCUUACAACGAGACCAACGAAAAACAUCAGUCAUAAUAUUAUCACCAUCAGUCUUUUCCUCAUUUGUGGAAUGUAAAAGGUGAUUUUGAGACUUUUCUGUCUCUGUAUCAUGAGACUCAGAUGCUGGAACAGCUUUUACCAUCUUCUCUCCCGCAAAAGAGAGUUCAUACCUGCAGAUAACAACUCAAAAGAUCAGAAAAUACAAACCAUUACCAAGAAAUUGCCACAUGUACUUUAGAGAUUCCAAUAUCCAGAAAAUUAUUCUGAUUUGAGGCUAUAAAUCAUUUUCUUCUUACACAAACAAAUGACAAUAGACUUUAAUUCAAGUGACUAGUUUCAUUCAUAACAGAUAUGAAAUGAGAAAAUACUAUCAGUUAAAAAAAAAAAAAAGAAUUGAUAAAGUUGUACCCCAAGACCAACAGGAACAAGCAGAAUGCAGAACUUCAAAGCUAUAUGCAGCUCUUCAUAAAAGCAAAGCCUAAUCCUAUUCCAUCAACUUGGAAACUUCACUAGGAUGCUUCCGGAUCUUAAAUUUGGAACUUAGCAUCUCCAGUUAAGUUCAGGUUUAAUGCAUCUGAUCCGUAAAUUGUCGUAUUCCAAUGUUCCACGAAAUCACAUGAUGAUGUAAAUAUGUGAUCAUAUCUCAGUAUAGUUUCUUUAAUUUGAUCAUUGGUGCUAUGUAGCAUUAAGAACAAAAGAGAAAUAAGACAAUAAUAACAUCAGAAUAGAGGCAGAUAGAAAACAAUUACAUAACAAAUUUAUUAAAACAAAAUAUCAUGUUCCAAAAUCCCAAAUGACAAUCAAACAACCUGUGCAAACAAUUUAUGUCAAUAACAAGAUAGGAAGACUACCUGCAAGAAUGUGUUUCUAAAUAAAGAACUUCCCCCUUCUUCAAACGUGCUGAUGUAUAAAGGGGCUUCUUCAGACCUUUAUCAGCAACAAUACUUAUACUGUACUUAAUCCUGAAUAAGUUGCAGGCAUUCAGAUUAAUUAGUAUCGGAACACUUGAAUAUCGAGGAGAUUCAAAAAAUAAAUAAAUAAAUAAAAACCAAGAAAAGCAAUUAUCAGGUAUAUUCAAUUAUUUCUAACUGUAAUGCUGAGAAAAGCAAGGUCACAACGUCCCAACUCUCCGUGCACAUAAACAUUCAAACAAAUUUUCCAACAAUAAACUGAUAUAUGUACGUAAAUGCAUGCUAGAAAUUAUGAAAAAGAAGAUUAUAUGCAUACCAAGGUUCAUUGCAGAGGUUGUACUGAAUUGUGACUUCUCGCACGAAUCUUUGUUGCCGCAAUGCAUUCUGAAGAAUGAAAAACAUAAAGCGAGCCAGUUGUUAUUUAAUACAAACAAAACAUAUACAUAAAUGCUCACACAUACCCACAUGUGCUACACAAGAAUAUGUGAUUCAAAACAUAAUUGUCUUUGCAGUCCAAGUUAUCUGACAAUCAUUUAGAAGCUUUGUUUAAGACAGAUGGUUUUCAGAGCUGGCCUAACUCGGUGGCUUUGAAAGUCUUCUGUAUAUAAGCUACAUUAAGACAAAGAGGGUUUUCCAGGUGCACCAUGCCAGGUGUUAUUUGACAAUCUACCAAGUUGAAUACACAAUGAACACACUACAUUUGCCAAUUCUGACCCUAAUUAAAGAUUUAAAUGAACUAGGACAAAUGGAGAGAUAUAAUGGAAAGUCAUCCACUGAUGCAAUCCCAACAAACAUAAGUAGCUGAGUGAUACCGAUGCUGCAGCCCUAGUAGUCAUUGUCCGUUCCACUGCCAUGGGAGCAAGGGUAGGCUCCACUGUUGAUGAGUGAGUAAGACAAGGCUCUAGAUCAAUAGUUCCACCUCCUUUCUGCAAUUUAAAAAACAGAAAUUCAUAUGUGCAUAACUAUUAAAAAGUGUUAAACAACCUGUAAGCUACUAACUUCUACCAACUCAAUAGCACUUGCUAAAGUUUUUAUGCAAAAGAAAAGGGCAUUUUAAGUCCAAAAAAUUAGAAUUAUUGAUUGAAUUCCGACUCCAUCAAUCCAUGCAACCAUCCAAUCUUUAACGAAAAAAUGAAGCAUCAUUAAUGAGACAUCUGAAGCAGAAAAAGGCAGAGAUAACUAGUUUGUCACCUUCACAAUGCAACACUUCUCAACACGGUAACUACAACCACUUCCAGCCCCCCAGGCACGGGAACACACGUUAUUUCUUUGUCAGAUGUGUAACCUAACAAAGCUAGUGGAGGUUAGCCUUGUUAAAAUGCACAUAAGUAAAACAAACAUUGUGAUGGGAAUUGCAGAAGUGCAAAGAGAUAAAAAGAGAGCAUAAGUUACAACUAGUUAAAUAAAGAAAAAUUAAUCAGCUUCCGAAUAUGCUUCAGUCAAUAACUCAGGUCGAAUUCUCUAAUAACUAUUAUUGGGUUGAAAGCCAAUGAUAAACAUAGAGAAGAAUAAUGCACUGCAUUAUUCAGCACAUUACUUCUCCAUAUCGACAAAGUAGGACUGUGGAAGUGUCAUCCAGGAAUAAGACCUUCUGCAAACAGAGACAUAAAAUUGUCUCCCAAGUUGUCUACCACAGUCUAUCCAAACACACUUUUCUUACUAAUUGUGAACACACAUGAGGAUUGUGUUUUGUUUUGGCACAAGGUGUGUUGGAUACAACUUAAGAAAUGUAGACACAAUCUAUAACCAUCAAGUCCAAACAAAAGUCAAGAUCUAAAAUGCUUUAGAAGAUCAGAAAAACAGCAAAAUAUCAAUUUCAGCUUCUUUUUCACUAAUUGUAAACUCAAACUCAAACCCGAGUAAAAGGGUAAAAGAAAGUGAAACUCACAAUUCAGACAUGUAGGUUAUGCUCCGUUGCAAUGAGAAUCAAAUUAGGGUUUAGUGGGUUUCCGUUUCAAACAGAUGGAAAAGCAUUGUAUUUGCGAAAAUCAAAAUAGACACUGUUUUUCACUUUGAAUUAAUAAUAUCUAUAUGAAGAGAAUAAAUCUUCUUACCCAGCAGGACCCGGAGGCCGGGAGUGAUAUUCCUAGAGCCGGUAAAAUUUGACACACUUAAUUAUCUGAUAUGAAUACUAGGUGAAUAAAUAGGUACGAGUCAUUUAAUUUGAUACGAUUUUUAUAUGUGUUAGAUCUGAGUAGAUAUAAUAUUUUUUUCGAAUUGAGUUGAGGCUAAAGUUUUUGAUUUAUUUAUUUAAAAGAAUAAUAUGGUUAUAUUUUUUAUUUUAAAUUAAUUUAUAGGUUUUUGUUAUAAAUUUUAAAUAUUGUACAUUAUUUUCUUUUUCUUUUUUAAAUGAUGAACAUGUAUAUAAUGUUUUAUUUAUAAAAUUUUAUAUAAAUUUAGAAUUUCAAUAAUGUAAAUAUGUAAAAUAUUGAUAGACAUAUAUGUUUUAUAAUAUCGAUAUGUAAUAUUGUUUGUAUAUGUAUAUAUUUACAAAUUCAAUAGUGUAAAUGAGUAAUAUUUUAGUAGAUAUAAAUAUAUAUAUAUAUAUAUAUAUAUAUAAAGCGGGUUAUUGAAGAAUUUAUUUAUUUUUUGUAUCAUAUCAGCGUCUUAAUAUUUUGAUAUAAUAUUAAAUAAGUAGUAUUUCAAUCAAUUUAAAUUUAAUACAACACGAAUACGACCUAAGAACCUAUAUUGUCAACUCUAGAUAUUUCUUCUCUUAAAAGUUUAAUAUAUCAAAUGAAUGUGGUCAAAACUCAACUGCCAUUGACAGCCCGUCUUUAUUUAUUACCAUUUUUUUUUCAAGUAGUAAAACAAAAUUAUUUUUUGGGUAAAUUGAUGAGUUGCAAAUGUAUUAAUUGAAUAGAAACCAAGGGAGAUAUUAAUAAACGAAAAUUAGAUACGAAUGAUAUUAAUCCUAACUAAUAUCACAAUAUUGAUAUCAAUUAUAAAUUAUAUACAUAUCAAAUAAUCACUUUUAGUAUGUUGAAAAGUCACGUAAAUAUGCGUUUGCCUUUUUUUACUCCUUCCCAUUUUCUCUACUUUUUUUUUAAAGAAUUAGCAUCAUAAAAAUUAAACAAAAAAAUACAAGACCCAAAUGGAGAUCAAAGUACCUUUCUUCCGAAAUUAUUUCAGAAAUAUUAGUUAUGCUAUCUGCAUGUUUUUUUGUUCGUACAUUUUAUCAAGGCAAAAUGUCAUUAGACAAUAAAUUCUUAAUAACGUCAUCUAAUUUUAAAUCAAUGCAGAUUUGUCUUGUUAUAAAUAUUCCUCAUAAGGUCUCUUUGGAAAUAAAAUUAGGUAAUAGUUUAAAAGUUACAGUACUAAAGUGUUUGAUAAAUAUUAACUGUUAUAACUUAAAAAAUAUGUUGAUAUAAUUUUUCAUUUGUAUGAUGAAAAUUUUAUUAUAUAAACUUAUUUUUUAAAAUUUAUAUUUACUACGUAUUAUUAACUUUUAUUUCAUAAUUACAAUAUUUUUUCUACAACAAUUAUAAAUUAAAAUUAUAACACUUCAAUCUUAAAUAGAAUGAUAAUCCAUCGUAUUUCUCAUUUUUUCAAAAAAAAAUUGUUCAUGGUCUUUGUUCACCGUCACCGGCUAGUAAAAAUUCUACGGCAUUACAUGUAUGAAACAGAAAAAUCUCCAAAAUCUCAGUACUAAUCCAAAAGAAAGACUACAUUACAUUCACAGUUCUGUUCAAAAUCAAUUCAGCACCUAUGACAUUACACCUACCUUACCAAUCUUGCCACCCUUCUGCUUUUCAAAUAAUCUACAAGAUUAUGCAACAACUAAUUCUCUUCUGCCUUUAUUCCAAAACCCGCCGCCCCAACCAAAAAAAAAAACCAAUCAAAAAAAAAAAAAACUCUGCUAAUCAAGAACCUCCGCUCUAAAGUUCUGAGAAGGCUGAAGUUGGUGAACUUGGAUAUCCACUAGUCUACUCAUGAAAUAAUUAACUACAUUCCAUAAUUACACAUGUAAUGUCAAUAGCGAUUAGCGAGUGUGAGAGAGAUAUUCUAAUCACACGUCAUUUCGCAUUGCAUUCUUACAAGGAGUUGUUCUGUUUCACACAUCAAACCAAGAUAAAAAAAAAUUGUACAUACAAGGAGACAGGCACAACUGUCAAUCCUUAGAUAGGAAAUGCACCCGUGCAAGGGUGUAUUCUUUCCCAGCUAUCCAAACGCCAGUUUGUGACCAUUGCACAUCCUCCCAGUCAAGAUUUUCUUCUAUUACCUGUCCAAGAAAAAAAAUUCAAAUAGAAGACAAAAGAACCACAACUACAUCGUUUCUAAGCAAUGUACAGAACAGAUGGAUUUAUAUACCAAGCUAGGCCCACCAUGCAUGUUUGCUAUGCAAAAUAUUACAUCAAUAUGCAUAUAUGAUUGCACAUGUGGAAAUUUAACUGGAUAGGCAAAAUAGAUGCAAUUUUGCUAAGUUGGACCAACAUGCCCUAUGCUGAGAUGGGCAAUAGGAGAAUGCAAAGUGGAAGUAGAUACCAAGCACUCAUCAAUACAAAGUUUCUGGCAACUCAGGAGUGCUUCCAAGUUCCAAAGAUGAACCUCCAUUCGUUUUAGUUCUAAACAUGCAAUGAUGUCGAAAGAAACAAGUGAGAUGAAGUACCUCCACAUGCUCAGGAGGCAGUGGGAUCCCAAUGGAACGCAUAACUUUUUGAGGAAGGGGCUUCUUGCAACGAGACCAACGAAAAACAUCAGUCAUAAUAUUAUCACCAUCAUUCUUUUCCCCAUUUGUGGAAUGUAAAAGGUGAUUUUGAGACUUUUCUGUCUCUGUAUCAUGUGAUUCAGAUGCUGGAACAGCUUUAACCAUCUUCUCUCCCGCAAAAGAGAGUUCAUACCUGCAGAUAACAACUUAAAAGAUCAGAAAAUACAAACCAUCACCAAGAAAUUGCCACAUGUACUUUAGAGAUUCCAAAAUCCAGAAAAUUAUUCUGAUUUGAGGCUAUAAAUCAUUUCUUCUUACACAAACAAAUGACAAGAGACUUUAAUUCAAGUGACUAGUUUCAUUCAUAACAGAUAUGAAAUGAGAAAAUCCUAUCAGUUAAUUAAAAAAAAAAAAGAAUUGAGAAA
rnacentral:lncRNA from 1 species